UACGAACCGUCCAAACGUUAUUCGGAAUCACUGGGCUUAAAGGGUGCGUAGGCGGUCCGGUAAGUUGGGUGUGAAAUCCCACGGCUCAACCGUGGAAUAGCGCUCAAAACUGUCGGACUCGAGGAAGAUAGAGGUGCGCGGAACUUAGGGUGGAGCGGUGAAAUGCGUUGAUAUCCUAAGGAACACCGGUGGCGAAAGCGGCGCACUGGGUCUUUUCUGACGCUGAGGCACGAAAGCUAGGGGAGCGAACGGG
rnacentral:rRNA from 1 species